rnacentral:rRNA from 1 species
UACGUAGGGUGCGAGCGUUGUCCGGAAUUACUGGGCGUAAAGGAGCUCGUAGGUGGUUUGUCGCGUUGUUCGUGAAAACUCACAACUCAAUUGUGGGCGUGCGGGCGAUACGGGCAGACUGGAGUACUGCAGGGGAGACUGGAAUUCCUGGUGUAGCGGUGGAAUGCGCAGAUAUCAGGAGGAACACCGGUGGCGAAGGCGGGUCUCUGGGCCGUAACUGACGCUGAGGAGCGAAAGCGUGGGGAGCAAACAGG